rnacentral:rRNA from 1 species
CAGCCCCUCGAGUGGUGGGGAUGAUUAUUUGGCCUAAAGCGUCCGUAGCCGGCCGAGCAAGUCUUCCGUUAAAUCCAGCGUCUCAAGCGUUGGACUGCGGGAGAUACUACAUGGCUAGAGAGUGGGAGAGGUCAGCGGUAUUCUGGGGGUAGGGGCGAAAUCCUUUGAUCCCCGGAGGACCACCAGUGGCGAAGGCUGCUGACUAGAACACGUCUGACGGUCAGGGACGAAAGCUGGGGUAGCGAACCGGAUUAGAGACCCGAGUAGUCC